rnacentral:rRNA from 1 species
UAGGGCGGGACACGAGGAAUCCUGUCUGAAUCCGGGUCGACCACGAUCCAACCCUAAAUACUAAUACCAGAUCGAUAGUGCACAAGUACCGUGAGGGAAAGGUGAAAAGAACUGAGGUGAUCAGAGUGAAAUAGAACCUGAAACCAUUUGCUUACAAUCAUUCAGAGCCCUAUGUAGGAAUACAGGGUGAUGGACUGCCUUUUGCAUAAUGAGCCUGCGAGUUGUGGUGUCUGGCAAGGUUAAGCAAACGCGAAGCCGUAGCGAAAGCGAGUCUGAAUAGGGCGCUUAGUCAGAUGCUGCAGACCCGAAACGAAGUGAUCUAUCCAUGAGCAAGUUGAAGCUAGUGUAAGAACUAGUGGAGGACUGAACCCAUAGGCGUUGAAAAGCCCCGGGAUGACUUGUGGAUAGGGGUGAAAGGCCAAUCAAACUUCGUGAUAGCUGGUUCUCUCCGAAAUAUAUUUAGGUAUAGCGUUGUGUCGUAAUAUAAGGGGGUAGAGCACUGAAUGGGCUAGGGCAUACACCAAUGUACCAAACCCUAUCAAACUCCGAAUACCUUAUAUGUAAUCACAGCAGUCAGGCGGCGAGUGAUAAAAUCCGUCGUCAAGAGGGAAACAACCCAGACUACCAGCUAAGGUCCCUAAAUCUUACUUAAGUGGAAAACGAUGUGAAGUUACUUAAACAACCAGGAGGUUGGCUUAGAAGCAGCCAUCCUUUAAAGAAAGCGUAAUAGCUCACUGGUCUAGUGAUUUUGCGCGGAAAAUAUAACGGGGCUAAAGUAAGUACCGAAGCUGUAGACUUAGUUUACUAAGUGGUAGGAGAGCGUUCUAUUUGCGUCGAAGGUAUACCGGUAAGGAGUGCUGGAGCGAAUAGAAGUGAGCAUGCAGGCAUGAGUAGCGAUAAUUAAUGUGAGAAUCAUUAACGCCGUAAACCCAAGGUUUCCUACGCGAUGCUCGUCAUCGUAGGGUUAGUCGGGUCCUAAGUCGAGUCCGAAAGGGGUAGACGAUGGCAAAUUGGUUAAUAUUCCAAUACCAACAUUAGUGUGCGAUGGAAGGACGCUUAGGGCUAAGGGGGCUAGCGGAUGGAAGUGCU